rnacentral:lncRNA from 1 species
AUUUAUUAAAGAUGGAUAUUUGGACAAGGACGGGAGAUAUGAAUUUAAAAAUGGUGAUAUUUAUGUUGGUAACUUUAAAGAAGGUCAAUUUCAUGGUAAAGGAUAUUACAAAUGGCAUAAUUCAACUCCUUAUGCAAUUUUCGAAGGAUUUUAUAAAAAUGGAAAAAAACAUGGAUUGGGAAAACUAUCAUGCCCCAAUGGAAAAUUAUUAUUUGGUAAUUUCGUAAAUAAUAAUAUGGAAGGCGAGUUUUUAGAAAUAAGUCCCCAGGGGCAUCAAACGAAAGGUAAAACAGACAUAUAUAUAUAUAUAUGUAUUUAUGUAUGUAUGUAUGUAUAUAUGCAUGCAUAUUUGAAAGGUUAUAAAUUUAUUUAUUUUUUUUUAUAUUUUUUUUCAGUUCUGUACAAAAAUGGGCAAUUUAUAAAAAGUAUUGAAAAAAUUAAAGAAGUGUUAGAUACAAAGGAGUAUACCAGUGAUGAUUUAAUUACCUCCCAGAUCUUUUCGGAUCCCGAUGUUUACAAAAGGCUUUAUGAGAUGGAAAAAAAGAAAAAAGCCAAAAUAUUCCUUAAGCUGAAAAGAAAUUAAUUAAACUUAGAAACAAAAAAUUAUAAAAGGGUGUGAUGACGUCUCUUUUUUUUUUUUUUUUUUGUUUUUAUCAUAUGGAUUAAUUUAAAGUUAGUACAUGAGAUAGAAGUAAAGGUUACUUCUUUUUUUUCAGUACAUGAUAAUAAUAUUUCUAUUAUGUUGUCAAUAAUACUAGUGAUAUUAUUUCAUAAACAAAUAUAUAAAAUACGUUUCUCAUUAAUAUAUAUAUAUAUAUAUAUAUAUUAUUUAUUCUACAUUUUCAUAUUUGUGCAAAAUAGUUUUAUGCCAAUUAGUUAAUACACUGCAUAUAUAAAGAAAAAAAAAAAAAUAGUGUCCAAAGGUUCUUCAUGUACAUAUAUAUAUAUAUACAUUUAUGUACACAAUCAUUUUGAGUUAUGAAAAUAAAAAAAAAAGGUGAUACA